CCUACGGGGGGCAGCAGUGGGGAAUAUUGGACAAUGGGGGGAACCCUGAUCCAGCCAUGCCGCGUGUGUGAAGAAGGCCCUCGGGUUGUAAAGCACUUUCAGUGAGGAAGAACGCCUGGUGGUUAAUACCCAUCAGGAAAGACAUCACUCACAGAAGAAGCACCGGCUAACUCCGUGCCAGCAGCCGCGGUAAUACGGAGGGUGCGAGCGUUAAUCGGAAUUACUGGGCGUAAAGCGCGCGUAGGUGGCUUGAUAAGCCGGUUGUGAAAGCCCCGGGCUCAACCUGGGAACGGCAUCCGGAACUGUCAAGCUAGAGUGCAGGAGAGGAAGGUAGAAUUCCCGGUGUAGCGGUGAAAUGCGUAGAGAUCGGGAGGAAAACCAGUGGCGAAGGCGGCCUUCUGGACUGACACUGACACUGAGGUGCGAAAGCGUGGGUAGCAAACAGGAUUAGAUACCCGAGUAGUC
rnacentral:rRNA from 1 species